GACGAACGCUGGCGGCGUGCUUAACACAUGCAAGUCGAACGGAAAGGCCCUUUGGGGGUACUCGAGUGGCGAACGGGUGAGUAAAACGUGAGUAACCUGCCCUUGGCUUCGGGGAAACUUCAGGAAACUGGGGCCAAUACCGGGAAGGAAUCCUUUCUGCAUUGGGGGGGUUGGGAAGGUUUGGCGGGUUUGGAUGGACUCGCGGCUUAUCAGCCUGUUGGGGGGGUAGGGGGUUACCAAGGCUUUGACGGGUUGCCGGCCUGGGGGGGGGACCGGCCACAUUGGGACUGGGAUACGGCCCAGACCCCUACGGGGGGCAGCAGGGGGGAAUUUUGCACAAUGGGCGGAAGCCUGAUGCAGCACCGCCGGGGGCGGGAUGACGGCCUUCGGGUUGUAAACCGCUUUCAGCAGGGGCGAAGCUUGUGGUGAGGGUACCGGCAAAAAAAGCACCGGCAAACUACGU
rnacentral:rRNA from 1 species